rnacentral:rRNA from 1 species
UCGCCUGUUUACCAAAAACAUCGCCUCUUGCAAAAAUAAGGAAUAAGAGGUCCCAGCCUGCCCUGUGACUAUAUGUUCAACGGCCGCGGUAUUUUAACCGUGCGAAGGUAGCGUAAUCACUUGUCUUUUAAAUGGAGACCUGUAUGAAUGGCAUUACGAGGGCUUAACUGUCUCCUUUUUCAAGUCAAUGAAAUUGAUCUCCCCGUGCAGAAGCGGGGAUAAUUCCAUAAGACGAGAAGACCCUAUGGAGCUUUAGACACCAAGGCAUAUCAUGUUACCUACCCCUAAACCCAGGGAAUUAAACCUAUUGAGCUAUGCCCCUAUGUCUUCGGUUGGGGCGACCACGGGGAAAUAAAGAACCCCCGCGUGGAAUGGGAGCACUUACUCCUACGACCAAGAGCUGCAGCUCUAACGAACAGAAUUUUUGACCAAUAAAGAUCCGGCAAUGCCGAUCAACGGACCAAGUUACCCUAGGGAUAACAGCGCAAUCCCCUUUUAGAGCCCGUAUCAACAAGGGGGUUUACGACCUCGAUGUUGGAUCAGGACAUCCUAAUGGUGCAGCCGCUAUUAAGGGUUCGUUUGUUCAACGAUUAAAGUCCUACGUUAAUCCGAAUUCAGACCGGAGUAAUCCAGGUCAUUUUCUAUC